AGGCAGGCCUCCUUGAGCUGUGGUGGGCUCUACCCAGUUGGAGCUUCCUGGCUGCUUUGUUUACCUCAGCAAGCCUGGGCAAUGGCGGGCGCCCCUCCCCCAGCCUCGCUGCCGCCUUGCAGUUUGAUCUCAGACUGCUGUGCUAGCAAUCAGCGAGACUCCGUGGGCGUAGGACCCUCCGAGCCAGGUGCGGGAUAUAAUCUCGUGGUGCGCAGUUUUUUAAGGCGGUCUGAAAAGCGCAAUAUUCGGGUGGGAGUGACCGGAUUUUCUAGGUGCAUCCGUCACCCCUUUCUUUGACUCAGAAAGGGAACUCCCUGACCCCUUGCGCUUCCCAAGUGAGGCAAUGCCUCGCCCUGCUUCGGCUCGCGCACGGUGCGUGCACCCACUGACCCGCACCCACUGUCUUGCACUCCCUAGUGAGAUGAACCCGGUACCUCAGAUGGAAAUGCAGAAAUCACCCAUCUUCUCCGUCGCUCACGCUGGGAGCUGUAGACCGGAGCUGUUUCUAUUCGGCCAUCUUGGCUCCUCAAGAAAAUUUUAAUAAUCUUUUCAUCCUGUCCUCUCUCCAGCCUCUCCUCUACUACCAAGAUGAUCAGUUGCUUCCAUUUGAAUCACUGUCAAGAAAGAAUGAAGCAGCCAAUUCUUUUGGAGGAAGUUGAUAGUCUCUUUUUGGGUGUGUGACAGACAGCACAAUGAUACCUGUGUGGAAGAGGAUGAGGAUGAGGUGGGAGCUACAAGUGCUCAGAGCCUUGGACAUUGCUUCUGCUGAGUUCAGCCUCAGCACAGAGUGAAGGAUUACAGCAUAGGAAGAAAAUACCAGAGCCAUAUCACUCCCAACCAAGACCCAUGCUAGCAUCAGUUGGUAAAAUUUGUUCACAGUGAUGUCAUCACAAGCCAGGCUGAUAACCCCCAAGUUAGAGCAGAGGCAGUGCUCGAUUUCAUUCCUGGAACAGUAGUGUCUCUGGGCAGCCAGUAUAGGCACUGGGAUGGUCAACAGGCCAUUCCUGAGCAUGAUGAACCCUGUGGCUUUGAAGACAAAAGCUUUAGUGACUAUGGAGGGGUACUGAAGAGGGCGACAGAUGGCUAUGUAUCUGUCUACUGCCAUGCAGA
rnacentral:lncRNA from 1 species